rnacentral:rRNA from 1 species
GUGGGGAAUCUUAGACAAUGGGGGAAACCCUGAUCUAGCCAUGCCGCGUGAGCGAUGAAGGCCUUAGGGUUGUAAAGCUCUUUCAGCUGGGAAGAUAAUGACGGUACCAGCAGAAGAAGCCCCGGCUAACUCCGUGCCAGCAGCCGCGGUAAUACGGAGGGGGCUAGCGUUGUUCGGAAUUACUGGGCGUAAAGUGCACGUAGGCGGAUCAGAAAGUCAGAGGUGAAAUCCCAGGGCUCAACCUUGGAACUGCCUUUGAAACUCCUGGUCUUGAGGUCGAGAGAGGUGAGUGGAAUUCCGAGUGUAGAGGUGAAAUUCGUAGAUAUUCGGAGGAACACCAGUGGCGAAGGCGGCUCACUGGCGCGAUACUGACACUGAGGUGCGAAAGCGUGGGGAGCAAACAGGAUUAGAAACCCGUGUAGUCC